UUACACAUUUGGGCCAAACAGCUUUCAGCAAGGGCAUGUGUCCACAGCUGAUGGGCAGUUAAGAACCAGCCUGAGCUGAAGGCUAGUAAUACCGUGCUGUAGGCUCUUUAAAAGGAAAGCCUGGCAUAAACCCAGCAUGGAAAGGAACAUUAUCAGUUAUCUCAAAUUUUGUCUGCCAGGGACAAGACCCUGUUCAUUCUUUUGCCCUUUUCAGAACUGUGAGCUUCAAGUAUUCUUGCUUCUCUGUAAAGGGAAGACAUCUCCCUUCUCUGAAAUCCUUCAACAAAAGAAAAGGCUCUUGGCAGGGUAGGGGAGUCAGUAGCUCAACACUAGAUCAUCCCUAGAGAUGGGGCAAGUUUCUGUCUGAACACGUCUUGGGUCCGAGUCCUUAGGUGUUCGGAUGCAGUACUUUGUGAAUACUUAAGCUACUGCAUGCUUGGUGUAGCUUGCAAUUUCUCUGUAUUUAAAAGCAGCUGUGUUUAUUUUCUUCAAAAUAACCUGUAUAUUAUUUAGAGCAAGCAAUGUAAAUAUUACUGAGAAGUUACUGCAGGGAUUUUUGUGACAGAGUUUGUAUGGGUUUUUAAAAAAAUCUUAGACACCCCUUUUUAAGAUGGGGAGAACAGGGUUGACUGCACCGUUGAAGCCCGCCCAGCAUUAUAAGGAAAUGUUUUUAAUGACUGCUGCAUCUUUGUAAAACGUUUGGUCAUCUAACAGAUGGUUUUAAAGUGUACAAUAUCCAAAAUAACGAUAGCCCUGUAUCCAUACAUUGUUUCAUUGAAAGAAUUCUCUAUUGCCUCUUCUUGGUAGAGCCAGAGUCCUUAAGGAAAAUCAGGAAAAUUAAGAAAAUGAUGGUGCCAUCUUGACCAGACUUCUGCACAGUAAUUUAACGCUAUCCUAGGGAGACUUGGUUGAAGGCACAGUUCUGGGAUCAGGGUCUAAAUGUGCAGUUUCUGAGAACCUUCAAGACCACUCACUGGGCAGGGCUCUGUGGAGCACUGGAGCUGUUUGGAUUCCCCAGCCCUUUGGUCAUAUCCUGGAAUUCCGUGGAGGCUGCAGAACUUAGAUGCAGCUGUUUUUUACAGCACCUAUUUUUGUCAGAUUGGUAAGGAAACACUGAGUCACAGAAUACUUAAGAAUUGGAGACUCCAGUAAUGUAGGAUGGCCUGAGAGGACGUCCAAGUCCCAAGGGGUGGACACGGCAUGUUCCUCGGGCACAGCCUCAGUGGGGGCCUUCCCCAGGCGCAGCUCGGCCACCUGAGGAAAGGGUGUUUCGGAGGCGCAGCCACACACACAGCGCUGGCAGCCUCACGGUCACGCCCAUCACUCCCUGCCCCCCACUGCCCUUGAGAAGUUAGUGGUGUCACAUCCUUAGUUUUAUAGACAGCUAGGAAUAGAUUGUGAAGAACACUCAGUUCACUACUGUGUUACAUUUAUAUCACAAGCUUCAAUUAAAAUGGAUUUUAAAGGAUUUUAGGAUUUACCUUUAGUAUUAACAACGUAUCUACUGACAUACUGUUAGGAUUCAAAACCAGUUAAGUAUAAGAAUUACUUCAUGUGGUUUUCCUAGGGUACAAUUUAUAAAAGGUAGAAAGCAUCCAAGUGGCUCCUCAACAAUUACAAUUCUUAAUGAUUUUUCUCACAGCUGUGCCCUUCUGUCAGGGUCAGUGUCAAAAUUCGUUAUCAAAGGCAAAACCUACUGUGCCAAGCUGGGGCGCUAUAUGUGAACGGAGUGGAAAUGCUUCAGUCACCUCUGCCGCAGCUUGUGAUUCCAGCAGUUCUCACAAACGUUCUGUCACAUGAUGAAAAGAAGCAGCUUGUAUAAUUCCAACUGGUGUUUCAUUUCUGUUCUAAUGCUAAGUGGUAACGCUUAACAAACAGACUAAAAGCUGUGUGCAGAAGAAAGGGCUGAAUGAGUACCGCCUCCCUAGGUUCCAGCACAGCGCUCGGGUCUAAGAAGUAGAGCCCCGGGGUAGGGUGGGCCAUCCACUGUCAGGCCAGUGUCUCAAGAAAGCCUGACCAGCUGAGCUGCUGCUUUUUUUUUGGGGGGGGGGGGGGGAGGGGCGUCUUGAGGCUUUUUUUUUUUUUACAAAGUUAGUUUGUGAUCAACGAUUCACUACAAUUGAAGUGUUACUUUGUCAGAAUAUUUAUUCCUUUGUGUGACAUGCUAGAUUCCCUGGAUGUAGCUGAUCAUUUUUAUUUUGUAAAUAUUACCUAACUUUACAUAAACUAUAUCAUAAUAAACUAUUUUUGCAUCACC
rnacentral:lncRNA from 10 species